GCAGCUGUGGCCGAGUGGUUAAGGCGGAGGACUAGAAAUCCAUUGGGGGUCUCCCCGCGAGGGUUCGAAUCCUACCGGUUGCG